rnacentral:rRNA from 1 species
AUUGAACGCUGGCGGCAUGCUUUACACAUGCAAGUCGGAGGCAGUGGCGAACGGGUGAGUAACGCGUAGGUAACUGCCUGGUAGCGGGGGAUAACUAUUGGAAACGAUAGCUAAUACCGCAUACUACCAGAUGGACCUGCGUUGUAUUAGCUAGUUGGUGGGGUAACGGCUCACCAAGGCAACGAUACAUAGCCGACCUGAGAGGGUGAUCGGCAACACUGGGACUGAGACACGGCCCAGACUCCUACGGGAGGCAGCAGUAGGGAAUCUUCGGCAAUGGACGGAAUUCUGACCGAGCAACGCCGCGUGAGUGAAGAAGGUUUUCGGAUCGUAAAACUCUGUUGUUAGAGAAGCGGUAUCUAACCAGAAAGCCACGGCUAACUACGUGCCAGCAGCCGCGGUAAUAC